rnacentral:rRNA from 1 species
GAUGAACGCUAGCGGCAGGCUUACUACAUGCAAGUCGAGGGGCAGCAUGACUGUAGCAAUACAGUUGAUGGCGACCGGCAAACGGGUGCGGAACACGUACAGAACCUUCCUUCGAGCGGGGAAUAGCCCAGAGAAAUUUGGAUUAAUACCCCAUAGUACAACGGAGUGGCAUCACUUUGUUGUUAAAGAUUUAUCACUUGAAGAUGGCUGUGCGGCUGAUUAGGUAGUUGGCGGGGUAACGGCCCACCAAGCCUGCGAUCAGUAACUGGUGUGAGAGCACGACCAGUCACACGGGCACUGAGACACGGGCCCGACUCCUACGGGAGGCAGCAGUAAGGAAUAUUGGUCAAUGGACGAAAGUCUGAACCAGCCAUGCCGCGUGGAGGAUGAAGGUCCUCUGGAUUGUAAACUUCUUUUAUAUGGGACGAAAAAAGGGUUUUCUAACUCGUCUGACGGUACCAUAUGAAUAAGCACCGGCUAACUCCGUGCCAGCAG